rnacentral:lncRNA from 1 species
CUCCAUAUCCAUAUAAAACCAUGAUGCCGAACACGUUGAUAAACAUAUUUUUUCUGCACAUAUAGACCUUAUAGGUUACUUCGAUGAUAGAAAGCAAUGGUUUUUCUAUAACAUAAUACUUUAGGGAAAAAAUACCUUUGUAUGUCCUAAUCGUCAUGCCAGCCAAAAUAAUAAUAACUAUAUGUUGCUUUUUUUUUUUCGCAAAUUAUGUCUUGAUCAAUCUCUUUGACAAAUUUAGUCCAAAAAGUAAUGGAUACCUUUUGUAUGCUGCAAAACAUAUAACUUAUUUGUUUACCAAAACUUGGCAACGGCAUUUAAAUAUUGUAACUAGAAAAGGA